UCAAUAGAAAAUAUAAUCUAAAAAAUUACUCAGCUAUUUACAUUGCACAAAUCACUGUGUUGAGAUAAUUUUUGCAACAUUUUUUCAGUAUCCAAAUUCAUCAUUGGAAUCAUAAUUCAUGACAAUUUUUUUUGAUCGGGUAUCAUAGGCUCGAUAAGCUUGACUACAAAAAGUUGAAACAUCUAGCCCAGAAUUGAUUUGAGAAGUUAAUAUAUUAGUUUUAGACUGUUCGUCUUUAAUUGAAUUCAAAAACAACCCAAUAGAAGGUUGACAAACACCAACAUGUUGAUUAAAACCACUAUGCCAUCCUCCUCACAAUCAAGCGUAUGUUGUGAGCAAAAAUCACAACUGUAUUAUACAUUUUUUGAAGUCCACAUGACUGAAGACGACGCCACAUACAUUGAUUGAAAUGAAAAUUACACCCAUCAACUUUCACACCAGAGUAUAUUUCUUUAAAUGAUUCAAUGAACGCCUCUUCAAAGUCAACCAUCAUUCGAGUUGGUGUGAAAUUUGGUAGACUUUUUCUCAACACCUUUAAAAAUUUAAUGUAGGUAGAUUCAGAUUUGUCAGAUGACAACAAGUACACAAGUGGAAGUGAUUUUCCAUUUGAUAUAUCAUGAAUAGUAUACAAUUGGCUAAAAAUACGCUAAGAAAUUCAAAUUUUUACGUGUUGUGAACACUAGAAAUCGUUUUGUAUUGCCGCCGCUAUCAUCUAGUAAAAAUGAUUCUGCUUUUUGUGUAGUUUUAAAAACAUCUGGCAAUUCUAGUUUCCCUCGAGACGGUGGGUCAAUCAUGCGAAAACGCAUUUUAGUUUCGAUUAAAGUAGAAUUAUUAGCAAGAUCGUGAAUUGCUAUCGCACCAACUAUAUUGUCUAUAUAAAACAAAUAUUAUUAUUAUAAAUAUCUAAAAUAACAUCUGACUGAUGUCAAGAUGCAUAUAUCAAUGAAAAUGAAUAAAUUACUCAAUCAAUACUAAACCAUUAAUUAAACAAUAAUAAAAAACCUGUUUUUUUCAGUAUCGGCGUAGAUUAGUACAUUGCAUUUAACAUUAGAAGCCCAACGCCAAGAAAUUGUAUUUUUAUUAACUUUCUUUCGAGAAUACAAAUAUCCUUCAUGUAAUAAUAAAUUAUUACCUUUUUGGGACAUUACAAAUAUUAAAGGCAUUUUGCUUAUGGAAAAACAAGUGACUAAUCGAUUAUCAAUAAUAAUUAAUGAUUUAUUAUAUCACAAGCGAAAAUAUUAAUGUAAGCAGCUAAGCGAAGCGUCAAAUAUAUGUACAAAAUACCGGAGAUGAGAAACCAUAACCACAACAAGAUAUCAUAUUGAAUGGAAUAUAGUAUUGGGCUCAAAAGCUGAACUGGACGAGCACCCGGCGUGAUACCGACAUGGUCUGGUGUCGAAUACUAGUUCGGGCUAUCUUUACUUUUCUCAAUUCAUCUUUAAAUUGUCUUAUUGAGAAGGUUCCUUGCGUACAAUUUUCGAGUGAGUGUCAGCCAAACAAAUUGCCGGAAGAGGAAGAAGUUGUUCAAAGUCUUUCUGAUUGUGAAGAACAAUCGAAAACGGACUCAGAACAAGACGUAUCGAUAAACUGGAGCGAUUACCAAAUCUAUGAUUUCGACGCAGAAAACACACAAGUUGCAGUUGAAAAUGAACGGGCUCUAGCAAUAUGCAAACGUAAAGCAAGUUAAACAGGAAAUCAAACUACUUUUUCAAAAUCUUGUUGACGUGGUCACCCAUCCACCAAAUUAUACAGUAAAAAUAAAUUUGCCUAAGAAAUGUGAUCAGGUGACCGAAGAUCAGCUUGUAUAAACGGAGAUGAAGUUCCGUAUAAAGCAAGCUUGGCAGAUGAUGCUGUAAAUCUGGAUUCGUUGAAGAACUUUUGGGAUCUCUUGUUCAAUUAAGAAAUCAUUAAAGCAAUCGUUGACAACCUUGCUCGAGGUAUUACUGGUCAUCUUGCCAACUAUCUUGCUCAAGGUAUUGCUUGUAAUCUUGCUGACUAUCUUGCUUUUACGUGUGACCUUACACCUUAAUGUUCCUAGCUCAGUGUCUCUAGAAAUUUAAUAGGAUGUUAUAAAGGGUGUGGGUCGGUCAGUAAAGGAAUGACUAUACGUGAAUUAUAUGGAUAUUUGUUUAUUGGGCGUCCCCAAACAUGGGAGUACCCAGAGAAGGCUCUGAAAGUCUAUUUUGCAAGUCUGAGAUAGCAUAAAUCAUACGGAUACAAAUGCAAUAUUUUUAUUCAACAAUAGCGGCCUUAAAGGUAUUCUGAUAGUGAUCUGUAAUAGAAGCGGUAAAAUAAAGAAGAGAUACAAUAUUUAUGCGCGAGCAGACAACUAUUCGAAUCAGCUUAACUAUGAUACUUAACUCUUUUCUGCAAUCGCAUUUUCUGCCUCGAAAAUAUCACUCCACCUUUUCUAUGAGAACUCUUUUCUCGCUGCAUUCGAAAAUAUCCCUCUGCAGUCUCCAACGGAAAGCUUUUCUUCCCACAUUCAAAACUGCUGACCACACAAAAUGUCUGCUCGUCGCGUUGUAUAAUAAAAGUAAGACCUAAUACACCUAAUGUGAUGCGAUAUUUAUGUGCAACUGUAGAGCGCCUAAUGAAAUACAACGAAAUAUAUUACUUUCUGAAUUUAAAUACAUGGGUGAUUCCGUUCUAACUGUGAUAUACAAUGUCCUGCAUUUUUUGUUCUCACAGGUCAUUAAUUAAUAAUCAAUUAAUAAAAUUUUUGUGUUGAUUUGAUUGUGAUGAAUAUAUUUCAACAUUAUAUUUCUAUCAUAUAACUUGCCACUCAGAGAAAACUUACCAUGUACCACUUGAAUGUCAGUACCGUGUCUUGUCCGUUUCUAGAAUUUACCUAUAAAUUGUUAAUUUCUUUUGUCGCAAUAAAUGAUUUAAACUAAUCACCUCAUGAAUUCUAAUGUUUAUGAUCUGUAACGGGGUAAAUUCGAAUUUACCGCGUUCAAAUAAGUCCAAAAUAAAAUCCAUUAUGUGUACUGUCGGUCAUGUGACAUUACCACUCAGGGUAUUCCGGGUAGGUAGCGACUAGUCGUCCGGAAGUGGAAAUUUCAAUUUGCUCGAUCGUCAACCCCACUUGGUAGGAGAGAAAAGACAACCAAAGUCAAGAAGGGAGCAAUUAUAAACUGGGACCGAAACGAGAAUCGGACAUUAGUGACCGGAACGACCAGACCGAACGGACCUUGUCCAGUCGAGGAAAAGUUCAACAGCUGAGGAGACGCUACGAUAGGACUCCAUUAUAACCGCCGAUAUUUAGACGUUGCGAGUUUAUAUUAGGUAAAAUUAUUUAAUUGAGAGCUUGUAUUUUACUGUGGAACCGAGCGAUAAAUUAUUCAAAUCUUUUAUCAGAUACCAGGUGGUUAGCCGGUAUCUAUUAUAAAUAUUACUGAUUGCGUCUGAUUAAGCAGGUUGAAGGAGAGAACGGGUAGAGGAGAGGUUAGAGAUAGAGAAAGAGGAGAGACAAGGGACAAUUACUGGAACGAGACGGAAAAUUUACAAUCACCAGACCAGACCAGGAAGAGACCAAGACAAACACAACGACGAGAAAGGAACCAAAGAGUUAAAUUGUUGUAAAGGUAUUUAUUUAAAAUUUUUCCAGGCAGGAAGCCGGAACAUUUUAAUUAAUACAUCGUCGUACGUCUGGUAGCGUCGCGUCUUAGCGUUCAAAAAUUUAUUACUCGUAAUUCGAAUAAUUAAAUCCAUAAAGCGAAAACUAAUAAUUUUAACCCGGAAUUAACUAUGUAAAAUAAUUAAUUAAUAAACUCCAGGCAGGUAG